rnacentral:miRNA from 1 species
ACAGGCAUGAGACAGACCAA